rnacentral:rRNA from 1 species
GGCUCAGAUUGAACGCUGGCGGCAGGCUUAACACAUGCAAGUCGAGCGGGGGAGAUUGCUUCGGUAAUUGACCUAGCGGCGGACGGGUGAGUAAUACUUAGGAAUCUGCCUAUUAAUGGGGGACAACAUCUCGAAAGGGAUGCUAAUACCGCAUACGCCCUACGGGGGAAAACAGGGGAUCACUUGUGACCUUGCGUUAAUAGAUGAGCCUAAGUCGGAUUAGCUAGUUGGUGGGGUAAAGGCCUACCAAGGCGACGAUCUGUAGCGGGUUUGAGAGGAUGAUCCGCCACACUGGGACUGAGACACGGCCCAGACUCCUACGGGAGGCAGCAGUGGGGAAUAUUGGACAAUGGGGGGAACCCUGAUCCAGCCAUGCCGCGUGUGUGAAGAAGG